ACGUACACUCCUACGGGAGGCAGCAGUAGGGAAUCUUCCACAAUGGGUGCAAACCUGAUGGAGCAAUGCCGCGUGAGUGAAGAAGGUCUUCGGAUCGUAAAGCUCUGUUGUUAGAGAAGAACACGUGCUAGGUAACUACUAGCGCCUUGACGGUAUCUAACCAGAAAGUCACGGCUAACUACGUGCCAGCAGCCGCGGUAAUACGUAGGUGACAAGCGUUGUCCGGAUUUAUUGGGCGUAAAGGGAGCGCAGGCGGUCUGUUUAGUCUAAUGUGAAAGCCCACGGCUUAACCGUGGAACGGCAUUGGAAACUGACAGACUUGAAUGUAGAAGAGGAAAAUGGAAUUCCAAGUGUAGCGGUGGAAUGCGUAGAUAUUUGGAGGAACACCAGUGGCGAAGGCGAUUUUCUGGUCUAACAUUGACGCUGAGGCUCGAAAGCGUGGGGAGCGAACAGGAUUAGAUACCCCAGUAGUCCCA
rnacentral:rRNA from 1 species